CGCGUAGGUGGUCCUUUCAAGUCAGAUGUUAAAUCUCCUGGCUUAACUGGGAGUGGUCAUUUGAUACUGCUGGACUUGAGGGCGGUAGAGGGAGGUGGGAAUUCCCGGUGUAGUGGUGAAAUGCGUAGAUAUCGGGAGGAACACCAGUGGCGAAAGCGGCCUCCUAGGCCGUUCCUCGACACUGAGGCGCGAAAGCGUGGGGAGCGAACAGGAUCAGAUACCCUGGUAGUCCACGCCCUAAACUGUGGAAACUAGGUACAGGGAGUAUCGACCCUUCCUGCGCCGUAGCUAACGCGUUAAGUUUCCCGCCUGGGGACUACGGUCGCAAGACUAAA
rnacentral:rRNA from 1 species